UCCCUACGGGWGGCWGCCMGUAGGGAAUCUUCCGCAAUGGGCGAAAGCCUGACGGAGCAAUGCCGCGUGAGUGAUGAAGGUUUUCGGAUCGUAAAGCUCUGUUGCCAGGGAAGAACGCUUGGGAGAGUAACUGCUCUCAAGGUGACGGUACCUGAGAAGAAAGCCCCGGCUAACUACGUGCCAGCAGCCGCGGUAAUACGUAGGGGGCAAGCGUUGUCCGGAAUUAUUGGGCGUAAAGCGCGCGCAGGCGGUCAUUUAAGUCUGGUGUUUAAUCCCGGGGCUCAACCCCGGAUCGCACUGGAAACUGGGUGACUUGAGUGCAGAAGAGGAGAGUGGAAUUCCACGUGUAGCGGUGAAAUGCGUAGAUAUGUGGAGGAACACCAGUGGCGAAGGCGACUCUCUGGGCUGUAACUGACGCUGAGGCGCGAAAGCGUGGGGAGCAAACAGGAUUAGAUACCCCWAGUAGUCANNG
rnacentral:rRNA from 1 species